rnacentral:rRNA from 1 species
AUUGAACGCUGGCGGCAUGCUUUACACAUGCAAGUCGAACGGCAGCGCGGGCUUCGGCCUGGCUGCGAGUGUCGAAAGGGUGAGUAAUACACCUGAACGUGCCCCGUCGUAGUGGAUAGCCCCGCGAAAGCCGGGUUAAUACCGCAUACGACCUGAGGGUGAAAGCGGGGGACCGAAAGGACUCACGCUAUUGGAGCGGCCGGUGUGGGAUUUGCCAGCUGGUCGGGGAAAGGCUUACCCAGCCGGGGAACCGUAGCUGGCCUGAGAGGACGACCGGCCGCCUUGGAACUUGGCCACGCACCAGGCUCCUACGGGAGGCAGCAGUGGGGUAUGUUGGACAGUGGGGGCGAACAUUAUACAGCCAUGCCGCGUGCGGUACGACGGCGCUCGGGUUGUAAAGCCCUUUUGCUCGGGAAGAAACUCUCUGGGCUAAGACCACGGGAGGAUGACGGUACCGGCAGAAUAAGCACCGGCUAACUACGUG